ensembl:snRNA
AUGUUGUAUGAGAGAAGGUUAGCACUCCCCUUGACAAGGAUAGAAGAGGCUGUCAGUCCCGACAACACACAUACAGUUAAGACAUUGCCAUGUUCAUGGCAUCUAACCAACAUUUUGC